AAUUUAAUAACGAUUUUAGGACCGAAUUACAGACGUUACGGUGCAAAGAUUGUACGACGUGGCCGGACCAGAUCUCUCCUAGCACGCGAAACCGAUCAGAACACGGAUAGUGCACUCGAGAAACGUACAAAUAAGGUUGGGAGUCGCACUGACGUUUGGAGGGAAGCAGUCUUCGGCGCUGGCGGUGGGCGGAGCGGGACCCUGCAGCUCAUUCAUGAACGGCUGCGACGGCGGCGGGCCCAUGUUCUGCGUGGCACGCAGCUGCGCCAGGAUCUGAUCUUCUGUCUUCAUCUCCUUGGCAAUCUCCUCCGUCCAGCACUAUCCCAACAAGUUUAACAGUAUCUAUCAAUGGGAGAGUCUUAUGCACCAUGCAGUUAUUAUAUUUUUAGUUUCUUGAAUCGUAAUUCUGCUCACUCUUGCUAUUCCAAUUUACUUUCGACAUUGGCAGAAUAAUCAAUAUCGGGUCUAUGUGCCACUAACAAAAAUAGAAUAGAAUUUUUGUGUUUGUUAAAUAUUAAGCGUACAUUCAAACAAGAUUAUUACAAACGUCCUUUGAAAACAGUUCUAAAACCUUACUUUAUCACAGAUUUAAAACAGAAAAAGUAAUAAAAAAUAUCAAAUCUACCAGCACCAAGACAAUAAUAAAAAUAAAAGUAAUACAUACUUCAAUUGGACAAUUUAGCAAGCACCGCCACGAGAGCUCAAGCGCAGUACUAAAGUUCAAGGGGAUGAGUUUUGCAAAAAUAUUUGUAAUGGUGAAAAUUUACAAGUAGAUAGUAUUCAAUAAUUGUCUAUUUGUAACAUCACUUC